rnacentral:tRNA from 1 species
GCCUCCUUCGUCUAGUGGCCUAGGACGUCGCCCUCUCACGGCGAAAACAGGGAUUCGAAUUCCCUAGGAGGUACCA